rnacentral:rRNA from 1 species
UGUAAGAGCGUGUGCGUCUGUAUGAAGUUAGCGGCGGACGGGUGAGUAACACCGUGGGUAACCUGCCCAUAAGACUGGGAUAACUCCGGGAAACCGGGGCUAAUACCGGAUAACAUUUUGAACCGCAUGGUUCGAAAUUGAAAGGCGGCUUCGGCUGUCACUUAUGGAUGGACCCGCGUCGCAUUAGCUAGUUGGUGAGGUAACGGCUCACCAAGGCAACGAUGCGUAGCCGACCUGAGAGGGUGAUCGGCCACACUGGGACUGAGACACGGCCCAGACUCCUACGGGAGGCAGCAGUAGGGAAUCUUCCGCAAUGGACGAAAGUCUGACGGAGCAACGCCGCGUGAGUGAUGAAGGCUUUCGGGUCGUAAAACUCUGUUGUUAGGGAAGAACAAGUGCUAGUUGAAUAAGCUGGCACCUUGACGGUACCUAACCAGAAAGCCACGGCUAACUACGUGCCAGCAGCCGCGGUAAUACGUAGGUGGCAAGCGUUAUCCGGAAUUAUUGGGCGUAAAGCGCGCGCAGGUGGUUUCUUAAGUCUGAUGUGAAAGCCCACGGCUCAACCGUGGAGGGUCAUUGGAAACUGGGAGACUUGAGUGCAGAAGAGGAAAGUGGAAUUCCAUGUGUAGCGGUGAAAUGCGUAGAGAUAU